rnacentral:tRNA from 1 species
GUCAGUGUGGCCGAGUGGUUUAAGGCGACAGACUUGAAUAAUAUGGACAUUUAAAGGCAUCUGCUGUGUUCAUGAGAUAUUUAAUUAUCUGUUGGGUUCUCCUUCGCAAGGCAAGCUUAGUCAUCAUUCAAGUCCAAAAGAACAUCCAACUAACAAAUCCCAGUUCGAAUCUUGUCGCUGACG